GAUUUUCAAAUUUUCAAAAAUCCCAAUUCAAUAGAAGGGACGGAACCCUCUUCACUGCUUCAUAUGAACCCUAAAACCUUUUUCCUCAAAUUCGGUGAACGGUUCACCACUUCACAAAGAUCACUCAAUCAAAGGUCACAUGAUUUUCUUAGGGUUUUCGUUCAACCAAAUCCCUUUUGUUUUUUUCCAAAAAACAUGUCGCUGAAUCCAUCGUCAAAUCAUCCACCUAUCGCUAUCUCCUUCUUCAAUUUCUCCAUGCCAACUAACGAUGGGUUCAACAACGACGAUGCCGAACAACCGUUUCAGAUCUAAGGUGACAAAAGCUCCAGGUAUCAAAUACCAGAUGUUCUUCUCAGAUAUGGAUUUGAUUUUCUAUUUUGAUUUCUCAAACACCUUACCGAACAACAACGACAUCAUACAAUACUGAGUUACUUAUGCAUCUCUAAAGCUAUUUGGUUAUCAUUCAAAAUACUAGAUUUGUUGGUUCUUCAUAGCUGACCAACAACUCCCAUUCGUUGAGGAAACAACCUUCAAGAAGAAACCUCUUCCGCAUGUUUCCUCAUUUCCAUUGAAUUGGAUACAUUUAUUCUGGUAUCAAAGAAGACCACUAAGAUAUGAGAGCAUAGUCACUCUUGCUGCCUAGAAUCGGCAAGUCUGUUGUAACAUUCAUAGGUAAGAACAAAUUUCAUGUCAAUGCCUUACAAAGUUCAAACAAUAGAGGACUUUGCAAAACAAGUAGAGGCAGGGAAUCUGAAACUCCGAGUUCGAGUACUAGAGUCUAAAAAGAGCUACUCGGAAAGUGACAGUGUUACAAAUGGCUACUAGAGCUGCUCGGAAAGGGACAGUUUAAAAUAGCAAGGAUGGUUCUUUGUUUUUUAUGAAGGGGUUAUCGGAAGAGUAGAAAGGGUGGUUUGUCAGCAUGGGAGCAGGCAGGAGCUCAAGAGUGGUUAGAAGUAAGUGUUGUAUUAGUAUGUCCUCAUUCACUGAUGAUGGGGACAAAGGUUUUUUAGUUAUUGAUCUUGAUAUGCUUUCAUUUCAGUUUUAGUUUCUAUAUUGCUCUUUGGUUCCAUCAUAGUUGAAGCUUGAAUCUAAGAGAAUUUAUUGUUGUCAUUUCACCUAUGUUCAUUAUUGUGCCUCAAUGACUUGCAAUUACAUGAUUUUCUUAUUAGUUAUGGAUUGUAAUGUAUGAAUGAUAGUGGAGGUUCUAUCUUUA